rnacentral:rRNA from 1 species
UUUUAAUUAAAAAUUGUUUAAUUAGAGAUUAAAUGAAACCAUUAAAUCUAAAUUAUUUGGCGGUAUUUUAAAUAAUUAGAGGAAUUUGUUAGUUAAAUGAUACUCCACGAAUGGAAUGUCCUGAUAAAAUUUUUAUGUAUUGUUGUAUAAAAAUUAUUUUAAGAGAAUUAUAAUUAGAAAAUUUAAGAUAAUUUGAAUUCAAAUCAAAAUGUAGAAUUAUUAGGGUUAAAUGAAUUACAAUUUAAUUUAAUAUUGGAUUUAUUUUUUUAAUAAAAAUAAUGAAAUAGGAUUUAAGAGUAAAUUUGAAAAAAUAUUCAAAUUGAAAUAUUAACUAAAAUAUG